GCCCUGCAUGAAGUCGGAAUCGCUAGUAAUCGCGAGUCAGCAUAUCGCGGUGAAUACGUUCCCGGGUCUUGUACACACCGCCCGUCACACCAUGGGAGUCGGGAAUGCCCGAAGCCGGUGGCCCGAUCGAAAGAAGGGAGCCGUCGAAGGCAGGCCGGAUGACUGGGGUGAAGUCGUAACAAGGUAAC
rnacentral:rRNA from 1 species